rnacentral:rRNA from 1 species
UACGUAGGGUGCAAGCGUUAUCCGGAUUCACUGGGUUUAAAGGGUGCGUAGGAGUGUAGGUAAGUCAGUGGUGAAAUCUUCGAGCUUAACUCGGAAACUGCCGUUGAUACUAUCUAUCUUGAAUACCGUGGAGGUGAGCGGAAUAUGUCAUGUAGCGGUGAAAUGCUUAGAUAUGACAUAGAACACCAAUUGCGAAGGCAGCUCGCUACACGAAUAUUGACUCUGAGGCACGAAAGCGUGGGGAGCAAACAGG